rnacentral:rRNA from 1 species
UACGUAGGGUGCGAGCGUUAAUCGGAAUUACUGGGCGUAAAGCGCGCGCAGGCGGUUUUCCAAGUCAGUGGUGAAAGCCCGGAGCUCAACUCCGGAACUGCCAUUGAAACUGUUAAACUUGAGGACGAGAGAGGUGAGUGGAAUUCCCAGUGUAGAGGUGAAAUUCGUAGAUAUUGGGAAGAACACCAGUGGCGAAGGCGGCUCACUGGCUCGUAUCUGACGCUCAGGCGCGAUAGCGUGGGGAUCAAACAGG